GGGAGGGAGGGAAAGAAAGGCAGGCCGGUCAAUGGCCACAUAUUGUAUGCUUUCUUCAUGUGAAAUAUCUAGAAUAGGCAAAUCUGUACAAACAGAAAGUAGAAUAGUGCUUGCCUGAAGUAGGGAGGUGGAAGGUGGUGAGGAGGGUUGGGAGAUGAUGGCCAAAAAGAACAGGGUUUCUCUUUCGGAUAAUGAAAACAUUCUAAAAUUGAGUGCAGUGAUGGGUGCACAUCAUCAACACAUAUAAUAAUAUACAGUUAAUUGUACAUUUAAAUGGGUGAAUUGUAUGGUAGAUAAAUUAUAUCUCAACAAAUGUGUUUAAAAACGAACGGUCAAAAGUUCCCAAAAGUUGGAAAGUAUACAUGCAAAGAUCUAAGAAGCCCAGUGAAUUCCAAACAAAAGAAUGACACCAAGGCACAUUUCAAAACAAAUGAUAAAGGAAAAAUCUAAAAAGUAGUCAGAGAAAGACACAUAUUAUAUACAGUGGGAACAAAGAUAAAGAUGACAGCAGAUUUGUUAUUGGAAGAAAAUGCAAGCUAGAAGACAGUGGGGAAAAAAUCUUUAAUGUAAAAAUGUCAACCGAGAACUUCACACACAGUAAAAGUAUCUUUCAGAAACAAAGGCAACACAAUGAGAUACCACUUCAUAUCGAUUAGAAUGGCUAUUAUCCAAAAAACGGGAAGAUAUAACAAGUGUUGGCAGGGAUAUGUAGAAAUUGGAACCCUUGUACCUUGCUGGUGGGAAUGUAACAAGAUGCAGCCACUAUGGAAGACAGUUUGGUGGUUCUUCAAAACAUUAAACAUACAAUUACAUAUGACCCAGCAAUUCCAUUCCUAGGUAUAUAUCCCAAAUAAUUGAAAACAAGUGUCUAAACCAAAGCCUAUACACCAAUGUUCAUAGUAGCAGUCUUCACAAUAGCCAAAAGAUAGGAACAACUCCUUUUAAUCACAUUUAUCAGCCAAAAAUAGUCACAUGACCAUGCUUUAUUUCAAGGGGACAGAAGAGUAUAUGCAUCCACAUACUUAGAAGUAAAAGAGAAUUGGAUAAUUGGUGAACAUUAACUAUCUUCCACGAUUACCUGUGAUACUAAAAAUUAUUUCCACACCAACAUAUUGCAAAGAGAUUGAAACAGAACUUGCUCAAAGAAUGUGAACUGUCCCAUGAACCAGAGGUCCUACCCAGAAAAAGUGGGAGAACUGCAACUCCAGCCACACCUUAUUCUCUCAAUACAUUCCCAGUAUGGACGGCCAAAAUUCCAGAAACCCCAAGGACAUCUGGGUGGCAGCUCUAUUUGAUUAAAAAGUCUCUUAACUGGCAGAGGUUGCCGUGAGCUGAAAUCGCGCCAUUGCACUCCAGCCUGGGUAACAAGAGCGAAACUCUGUCUCAAAAAAAAAAAAAAGUCUCUUAGCUGCCUAGAAACCAACGUUCUUCCUUUUCACUUGCUAUGCAUGCUAUCAGAUACCUCUACCACUUGUUCAUUCAAUAUCCCUUGUCUAUGCCCAGCUGAUGGAGAAACCCAUCAGGUACAGUCCACAACCAGGAGUCUAAACAAAGCACUAUGGGAACACAGACGAAGGAGCAAAUCAUUUUUGUAGUGUUUUGCACUCUGAUCUAGCCACAUUUUUCCUGCUUUUGUGAUACAAACCUGCGUCCCCCAGCUUCCCAACUCUGCAGCUGAGCAGCUUUGUGGCCAUAGGCAAAUCCCUUCACUUAGAAUUCUGAGGCUUGGUUUCCUCAGCUGUAAAAUGGGAAUGAUAACACCUACCUCCUAGGAUUAUUGUGAGAACAAGAAUGAGAUAAUGUCUAUAGAAACGCGUUUUGUGUCAGUCCAAGUUAUCACCCCCAUCAGCAUCAUCGUGGCUGUCUUCUACCGUCUAGAAGGGGAGCCCCAGGGCUGGAGAAGGCCCAGGGAAGAGAGGGGUUCCCAGGCCGACCCUCUUACUCUGGGGGAGUCGGGGCCUCUCUCCUAAUUAACUCUUCCUGGCAGAAGUUUCUUGCUGGACGUGUUUGCCUACCAGUGAAAAGCCAAGUGAGGCUUCCAGGGGCCUCCCACUGGCCCUGACACAUCAGGUAAGAAUGAUGAUUCACCAAACUCUAACAGCCUUGCUGACAGGCCCACUGGCCCAGUCCAGGCAGAGGCCGGAGAGGGCUGCCCAGGCAGCGGGGCCAUUAGGUUUUAUAGAAGUGAGAGAAGGAGAGAGGGAGGGGAAGAAAAGGGAGAGAUAAAGGAAAAGAAACAAAGGCCCCAAAAGGGAAAAAGAACAGAAGAAACACAAAGUAGAAUAAUGGUUAGGAGGGGCGGUGGGAUGGGGAGUUGUUUAAUUGGUAUAAAGUCUGUUUUGCAAGAUGAAAAAGUUCUAGAGCUCUGCUGCACAACAAUGUGAAUACAGCUAACACUACUGAACUGCACACUUAAAAUGGUUAAGAUGGUAAAUUUCAUGUGACAUGUUCUCCACAACAAUUAAAAAUAUUAAAAUACAUGUUUAAAAGAAAUGAGGCCGGGCGUGGUGGCUCACGCCUGUAAUUCCAGCACUUUGGGAGGCCAAGGCAGGUGGAUCACGAGGUCAGGAGUUCAAGACCAGCUUGGCCAACAUGGUGAAACCCCUUCUCUACUAAAAACACAAAAAAAUUAGCCGGGCGUGGUGGCGGGAGCCUGUAAUCCCAGCUACUCGGGAGGCUGAGGCAGGAGAAUCGCUUCAACCCGGGAGGCGGAGGUUGCAGUGAGCCGAGAUCGCGCCAUUGCCCUCCAGCCUGGGCGACAGAGGGAGACUCCGUCUCAGAAAAAAAAGAAAGAAAGAAAAUAAAAGAAAAAGAAAAAGGAGAGGAGGAAAGGAAGAAAGGAGAGAGAGGAGAAAGAAAGGAAGCAGGCGGAAGAGAAGGAGGGAGGGAGGAAGAGAAAGGAAGCAGAGAGAAGGAAGGCGGGAGGGAGGAGAAAAGGAAAAUUAAAAGGAAGGAGAUGGGGAAGGGAGAAGGAAACGGACGGAAAGAGGGAGGAAUGAGAGGGAUAAAAAGGAAGAGAUGGGAGAUGGGAAGAAAGAAAAACAGCUGACAGGGAGGAGGAGGAGGAAGGACGAAGCGGCGCAGGUGGACAGGUGGCCUCGCAUCGCUUCCUCCCCAGGCCCGGCCCAGCGCGGGGGCGGGGCAACC
rnacentral:lncRNA from 10 species